rnacentral:rRNA from 1 species
CAACUCUCAUCAACAGAUAUCUUGGCUCUUGCAACUAUGAAGAACGCAUCGAAAUGCGAUACCUAGUGUGAAUUGCAGAAUUCCGCGAAUCAUCAAGUCUUUGAACGCAAGUUGCGCCCGAGGCUUGUCCCAAGGGCAUGCCUGCCUGAGCGUC